rnacentral:rRNA from 1 species
CAAUAACGUAUAUUAAAGUUGUUGCGGUAAAAAAGCUCGUAGUUGGAUUUCUACCGAAGAUAGCCGGUCGGGUCUUCGACCUUGUAUCUGGUUUUGUCUUUGGUAUCCUCAUAGGGAACGUUUCUGCGCUUUAUUGCGUGGUGCGGUAUCUAUGACUUUUACUUUGAGGAAAUUAGAGUGUUCACGGCAGGCAAACGCCUUGAAUAUAUUAGCAUGGAAUAAUAACAUAGGAUCUUCGUCCUAUUUUGUUGGUUUCUAGGGCUAAGAUAAUGAUUAAUAGGGAUAAUUGGGGGCGUCUGUAUCAACGCGUCAGAGGUGGAAUUCUUGGAUUGCGUUGCGACAAACUACUGCGAAAGCAUUUGCCAAGGAUGUUUUCAUUGA